rnacentral:RNase_P_RNA from 1 species
CAGGUUCGCCGGGUGAUCGCGCGUGACGCAAGAAUCGCGAGGAAAGUCCGAACUUCAUAGAGCAGAGCGCCGGCUAACGGCCGGGUGUGGUGACGCAACGGAAAGUGCCACAGAAAAUAUACCGCCGAAGAAAAGUCAAAAGUCGGAAAUCAGAAGUCGGAUACUUAUUCUGGCUUUGACUUCUGACUUCAUACUUCUGAAUUUUCUUCGGUAAGGGUGAAAAGGUGCGGUAAGAGCGCACCGCGCAUCCAGUAAUGGGUGUGGCAGGGAAAACCCCGCUCGAAGCAAGGCCAAGUAUGCCGGGAGUCUCCGCUGCUCGCGGAGCAUAAGUCCCGGCGGGUAGGCCGCCCGAGGUGAUGAGUAAUCAUCAUCCCAGAUAGAUGAUCACUGCCCGCAAGGGUACAGAAUUCGGCUUAUAGGCGAACCCCAAAA